AUUACUAUCACCUUCUACAACAUCCAUUUUCUGCUAAACUAUCUUCUAAUCACUAACAUCACCAUCAACAACACCGUUCAAUCCACACACCAAUCUCAACCUUAUUAUCAUCACAAUACUACAACGUUCACCAUAACCUCACUUCCAAAAAUCAACUCACCUUUCAAUCAUCCUACGAUUUCCAAAUCUCUUUCUCCCCCACGUGUUCCAUCAACCUCCCUCCUUAUCUCUUCCACUUCACAAUCUCACAACCAAUCCAACUCUCAUCCAAACCUCACAAUACCCUCUCAUCUCAAUACAGAGAAACAUACAACCAACAUCACAAUACAUUCUCCCUCACAGCCAAGAACAACAACACACACAAAAGAAAAACAAAAAUGA